AUGAACGCUAGCUACAGGUUUAACACAUGCAAGUCGAGGGGCAGCAUGGUCUUAGCUUGCUAAGGCCGAUGGCGACCGGCGCACGGGUGAGUAACGCGUAUCCAACCUGCCUUACACUCUUGGACAGCCUUCUGAAAGGGAGAUUAAUACAAGAUGUUAUCAUGAGUAAGCAUUUUCGCAUGAUUAAAGGUUUACCGGUGUAAGAUGGGGAUGCGUUCCAUUAGAUAGUAGGCGGGGUAACGGCCCACCUAGUCUUCGAUGGAUAGGGGUUCUGAGAGGAAGGUCCCCCACAUUGGAACUGAGACACGGUCCAAACUCCUACGGGAGGCAGCAGUGAGGAAUAUUGGUCAAUGGACGAGAGUCUGAACCAGCCAAGUAGCGUGAAGGAUGAAGGUUCUAUGGAUUGUAAACUUCUUUUAUACGGGAAUAAACGAAUCCACGUGUGGAUUUUUGCAUGUACCGUAUGAAUAAGGAUCGGCUAACUCCGUGCCAGCAGCCGCGGUAAUACGGAGGAUCCGAGCGUUAUCCGGAUUUAUUGGGUUUAAAGGGAGCGUAGAUGGGUUGUUAAGUCAGUUGUGAAAGUUUGCGGCUCAACCGUAAAAUUGCAAUUGAUACUGGCAGUCUUGAGUACAGUUGAGGUAGGCGGAAUUCGUGGUGUAGCGGUGAAAUGCUUAGAUAUCACGAAGAACUCCGAUUGCGAAGGCAGCUUACUAACCUGUAACUGACAUUGAUGCUCGAAAGUGUGGGUAUCAAACAGGAUUAGAUACCCUGGUAGUCCACACGGUAAACGAUGAAUACUCGCUGUAGGCGAUAUACAGUCUGCGGCCAAGCGAAAGCAUUAAGUAUUCCACCUGGGGAGUACGCCGGCAACGGUGAAACUCAAAGGAAUUGACGGGGGCCCGCACAAGCGGAGGAACAUGUGGUUUAAUUCGAUGAUACGCGAGGAACCUUACCCGGGCUUAAAUUGCAACCGAAUAUGGCGGAAACGCUAUAGCUAGCAAUAGCGGUUGUGAAGGUGCUGCAUGGUUGUCGUCAGCUCGUGCCGUGAGGUGUCGGCUUAAGUGCCAUAACGAGCGCAACCCUUGCCGAUAGUUACUAACAGGUUAUGCUGAGGACUCUGUCGGGACUGCCAUCGUAAGAUGUGAGGAAGGUGGGGAUGACGUCAAAUCAGCACGGCCCUUACGUCCGGGGCUACACACGUGUUACAAUGGGGGGUACAGAGGGCUGCUACCACGCAAGUGGAUGCCAAUCCCAAAAACCUCUCUCAGUUCGGAUUGAAGUCUGCAACCCGACUUCAUGAAGCUGGAUUCGCUAGUAAUCGCGCAUCAGCCACGGCGCGGUGAAUACGUUCCCGGGCCUUGUACACACCGCCCGUCAAGCCAUGGGAGCCGGGGGUACCUGAAGUGCGUAACCGCAAGGAGCGCCCUAGGGUAAAACUGGUGACUGGGGCU
rnacentral:rRNA from 1 species